GAUGAAGAACGCAGCGAAAUGCGAUAAGUAAUGUGAAUUGCAGAAUUCAGUGAAUCAUCGAAUCUUUGAACGCACAUUGCGCCCCCUGGUAUUCCGGGGGGCAUGCCUGUUCGAGCGUCAUUUCACCACUCAAGCCUCGCUUGGUAUUGGGCAACGCGGUCCGCCGCGUGCCUCAAAUCGUCCGGCUGGGUCUUCUGUCCCCUAAGCGUUGUGGAAACUAUUCUCUAAAGGGUGUUCGGGAGGCUACGCCGUAAAACAACCCCAUUUCUAAGGUUGACCUCGGAUCAGGUAGGGAUACCCGCUGAACUUAAGCAUAUCAAUAAGCGGAGGA
rnacentral:misc_RNA from 1 species